CAGCCUGGUUGGCAAUCAGGCGACGAGUGCAAUGGCAAAAGGGAGCUUGACUGCGAGACCUACAAGUCGAGCAGGAGCGAAAGCUGGGCAUAGUGAUCCGGCGGUAGCGUGUGGAAGCGCCGUCGCUCAACGGAUAAAAGGUACCCCGGGGAUAACAGGCUUAUCUUCCCCAAGAGUCCAUAUCGACGGGAAGGUUUGGCACCUCGAUGUCGGCUCAUCGCAUCCUGGGGCGGUAGCACGUCCCAAGGGUUGGGCUGUUCGCCCAUUAAAGCGGUACGCGAGCUGGGUUUAGAACGUCGUGAGACAGUUCGGUCCCUAUCCUCUGCAGCCGAAGGUGGAUUGAGAAAAGCUGUCCCUAGUACGAGAGGACCGGGACGGACGCAGCUCUCGUGUGCCAGUUGUCCUGCCAAGGGCAUGGCUGGUUAGCGACCUGCGGAAGGGAUAACCGCUGAAAGCAUCUAAGCGGGAAGCCCUUUUCAAGAUGAGUCCACCCACAGGGUUAACCUGGUAAGGCCCGUGGUAGACGACCACGUUGAUAGGCCGGCUGUGUAAGCACAGCAAUGUGUUGAGCUGACCGGUACUAAUCGGCCGAGGGCUUGAGUU
rnacentral:rRNA from 1 species